GAACGAUAACUCAAGAUUCCUCGCAGGAGACGAAAGGUUGAUUGUAUCGUCAUCUUGUUUAACAUCACACUCGAGAAUUUUUCACUCAUAUGGACAUGUGGAGACGUGAGACGAAAAUGUCUUUGGACAUGAUCCAUAAGAAAUGGAUUGUGAAGGUGGGGUGGAGUUACAGGGGCGCCCGACUGUGGAUCCGGCACGGAGUCAUGUCAGUGAUGAUUUAGCAACCGAAAUCCAACUGACUGUGAAGAAAUGUCCCUCUACAAGAUAAACUAUGACAAUGGGUCAUCAGCCUCCGUUUCCAUCAUGGGAAUUCCAUACGGUGAUUUCGACAGAACAGAGAGAAUGUCCAAACUGCCAUCCAUAGUGUCAUUUCAUUAGCAACGAACGAUAACCCAAGCGCAUGAUCUCGAAAAACGUUCUAGUUUGUACACCCACCUUUCGGAGGAAGGGACACAUUGACAGUAAAUGGAUAUAGAUAUAUGCUGAAAAACAGCAUCUGUAAAUGUUAUAAAGAAACGUUUCUACAGAGUUGACGACUAAGAAAUGUCCCUCUACAAGAUAAACUAUGCCAAUGGGUCAUCAGCCUCCGUGACCAUCAGAGGGAUUCCAUUAGGCGAUUUCGACAGAACAGGUUAUUGACAUUUCAUUAAUUUUCGUAGUGCAUCAAAUUUCAUGGAUUUCCUUACCUUAUCUUUUCGUUGGUACUGAAUAGGCGUGCAUUUUCUAUACAGGUUUUAUUAUUAUUAAAACACAUUUAUUUAUCACGAAAUUUCCCGAAUAACAACCUUUAAUUUUGCAUUUUCUCCAACAUCUAUGCACUAAUUCUCUAUAUUGGUCAUUGAAAUUAUGUCAGUAUGAAAUCCACCAAAAUAGCCGUUUAGUUUUCUGCAUGUAUCUAUGGUUAAUAUUCCUUUCUUGUGUGAUCAAAUGAUAGGAAUCAAGCGUUUUAAGAGACAAAAAGUUUUCAUCCAUCUGAUUUUGGGCAUCGCAAAUCUUUCAAGUGAUAAAUAGUCUAGAAAAAUGGCUAUAUGGAUCGUGGAUAACGGCCUAGCUACAUGUGCAACUCGGUGGUUAGAGCACCUGACUAGUAAUGCUGGGGUCCCAAGUUCGAUUACCGGUCCAGCCAUAGACUUUCUCCUCUCCUAUAAUUUAGUUGGUGCUGUUGACCAUUCCUGCCAGGAGCGAAAGGAAUCUGGAUUGUGUGUCUUCGAGGGCGAAGACAAAUUAAUGGAGGGAGAAAUGUAGUAGUUAGGGCUAUACGGAACGUGGACAUUGGUCUAGAUAGCUCAGUGGUUAGAGCACAUGACUAGUAAUGCAGGGGUCUGGGUAGCUCAGUGGUUAGAGCACCUGACUAGUAAUGCAGGGGUCUGGAUAACUCAGUGGUUAGAGCACCUGACUAGUAAUGCAGGGGUCUGGGUAGCUCAGUGGUUAGAGCACCUGACUAGUAAUGCAGGGGUCUGGGUAGCUCAGUGGUUAGAGCACCUGACUAGUAAUGCAGGGGUCUGGGUAGCUCAGUGGUUAGAGCACCUGACUAGUAAUGCAGGGGUCUGGAUAACUCAGUGGUUAGAGCACCUGACUAGUAAUGCAGGGGUCUGGGUAGCUCAGUGGUUAGAGCACCUGACUAGUAAUGCAGGGGUCUGGGUAGCUCAGUGAUUAAAGCACCUGACUAGUAAUGCAGGGGUCUGGGUAGCUCAGUGGUUAGAGCACCUGACUAGUAAUGCAGGGGUCUGGAUAACUCAGUGGUUAGAGCACCUGACUAGUAAUGCAGGGGUCUGGGUAGCUCAGUGGUUAGAGCACCUGACUAGUAAUGCAGGGGUCUGGGUAGCUCAGUGAUUAAAGCACCUGACUAGUAAUGCAGGGGUCUGGGUAGCUCAGUGGUUAGAGCACAUGACUAGUAAUGCGGUGGUCUGGGUAGCUCAGUGGUUAGAGCACAUGACCAGUAAUGCAGGGGUCUGGGUAGCUCAGUGAUUGGAGCACCUGACUAGUAAUGCAGGGGUCUGGGUAGCUCAAUGAUUAGAGCACCUGACUAGUAAUGCAGGGGUCUGGGUAGCUCAGUGGUUAGAGCACAUGACUAGUAAUGCAGGGGUCUGGGUAGCUCAGUGAUUAGAGCACCUGACUAGUAAUGCAGGGGUCUGGAUAGCUCAGUGAUUGGAGCACCUAACUAGUAAUGCAGGGGUCUGGGUAGCUCAAUGAUUAGAGCACCUGACUAGUAAUGCAGGGGUCUGGGUAGCUCAGUGAUUGGAGCACCUGACUAGUAAUGCAGGGGUCUGGGUAGCUCAGUGAUUAGAGCACCUGACUAGUAAUGCAGGGGUCUGGGUAGCUCAAUGAUUAGAGCACCUGACUAGUAAUGCAGGGGUCUGGGUAGCUCAGUGGUUAGAGCACCUGACUAGUAAUGCAGGAUCCCGGGUUCGAUUCCCGGUCCAGUCAAAGAUUUUCUCCUCUCCUAUACUACGAUUGAAUGAUUUUCUCACUUCAUCCCAUAAAAUGUAACACUUUCAGGUUUAAUCUGUGGGAGUGGGACAUUCAGGAUACCAUUAAUGUGUAUAUGUCUCUCGUUCAUUAAUGUGUAUAUGUCUCUCGUUCAUUAAUGUGUAUAUGUCUCUCGUUCAUUGAUCAUUACAUUAAUGUGUAUAUGUCUCUCGUUCAUUGAUCAUUAAUGUGUAUAUGUCUCUCGUUCAUUAAUGUGUAUAUGUCUCUCGUUCAUUAAUGUGUAUAUGUCUCUCGUUCAUUGAUGUGUAUAUGUCUCUCGUUCAUUAAUGUGUAUAUGUCUCUCGUUCAUUGAUCAUUACAUUAAUGUGUAUAUGUCUCUCGUUCAUUAAUGUGUAUAUGUCUCUCGUUCAUUAAUGUGUAUAUGUCUCUCGUUCAUUAAUGUGUAUAUGUCUCUCGUUCAUUAAUGUGUAUAUGUCUCUCGUUCAUUAAUGUGUAUAUGUCUCUCGUUCAUUAAUGUGUAUAUGUCUCUCGAUCAUUACAUUAAUGUGUAUAUGUCUCUCGUUCAUUGAUCAUUAAUGUGUAUAUGUCUCUCGUUCAUUGAUCAUUACAUUUAGGGGUCUAGAUCUGGCUCAACAAUACAACGGAAGUUGGUAUUAAAUGAUAAUGAUGAAAUCACAAUAGUUUUUUAUGAAUAAGUACAACCUGAGUUGAUAUAAUACAAUUGAAAUAAUACUUUAAUCAAAUAGUUAUAUUCUUCACUGUAAAAACCAAGAAAUCAAUAUAAUGCGUUUUCUUCUUCAAACUUUAAUAGGGCAUUGGGCAGUCUGGUGUGUGACCAAAAUGUUCGAAGCUGCACGAAUUCUAGCUUUCAUGAAAGGAUUCAUUGACCAUGAAAACAUAGUUAAUGAGGACGCCGCAAUAGCUGUUGUCAAGCAACACCUCCAUCUCGAUUCUAAAUUACACCGUUUGAAUUUAGCAUCGUUGACAGAGAUAACGUCAAAUUUAGAAAUCAAACAACAAAAGAAAUCAUCAUUAAUGUUUGUGGUCAACUUGAAGAACGAAACCACCGAUGAAAUACUGGGAGAAAAUUAUUUUAAAGUGGUGAGAAUUAGUAGAAAAACGCGCCGGUCCAUACCAUUUCCUGAAUGGUACCAAAAGAAAUAUUCAUCUUUCAUGGGUACCCCUGGUCAUCCUGGAACCGAAAAAGAAGAUUUGCCAAAAAUCCCCGAAAAUGCAUUCAAAUAUACGGUAUUUCCUGGACAUAGUGACGAGGAUGUAAAUGGCCAUCUUAAUCAGUCCUCUUACAUCCGGUUUUGCAUGGACGCAGCCACUCGUGCAUCACUGAAUGGGUAUUAUGAUCAUUAUACGAAAGAUAUGUGUUUAUAUCCAUCUUUGCAGUGGACUAUUACUUACGUGGGUGAAAGUCUUGCCAACGAUGAAUUGAAUAUUUUCACAUGGCAGAGCGAAAAUUGUCCUGAGCAGAUAUAUUUCACAAUGUUAGUCAAUGGUCACAAAAUUAUUUUUCACGCAUCAACAAUAUUUGGGAAAGAGGCAGAUGAACCCCGCUUCUUUCGCAAAUUGUAAAUUUCAGAUAAUCUUUGCACCCAAUGUCGCAUCGUCGCGCGCCACGGCUGAAACGUAAGCUCCUCUCCCCUUUCACGUGAAAGGGAAGAGGAGGUACGUUUCAGCCGUGGCGUACGGCGAUGUCAUUGUCGGCUAUAUACUGUUAAUCUCGGUUGAGAUUCGGCUCGGCUGAACAUUUGGACUGACGCCUUCACCGAAUCUCAGAGCAGUCCUUCAUAAUUCAUGUCUGGAAAUUUACUUUCAGCUUCGGCCAGUUCAAGCAAUUAAUGUGCACUUAGGUGACACUUCUGUUCGCUUCAAAUAAGUUAUUCGACUAUAAAAGUAACCCUCCAUCCAUUCAGCCGAGCCGAAUCCCAACCGAGAUUAAUAUACUGUUUAUUUUGUUUUACACUUAGUGUAUGUUACGUACUGUUUAUUUUGUUUCCCCUAUCUUGUAACUCUGGUAGAACUGAUGUUGCACAUAACCUGCUUUUUUAUAUCAUUGAAAAUUCAUUGUGCAAUACUCAGUACCCAAAUUAAAGCAAAAGUAUUUAAUAAUU